rnacentral:rRNA from 1 species
UACGGGGGGGGCAAGCGAUGUUCGGAAUUACUGGGCGUAAAGGGCUCGUAGGCGGCCAACUAAGUCGGACGUGAAAUCCCCAGGCUCAACCUGGGAACUGCGUCCGAUACUGGAUGGCUUGAAUCCGGGAGAGGGAUGCAGAAUUCCAGGUGUAGCGGUGAAAUGCGUAGAUAUCUGGAGGAAUACCGGUGGCGAAGGCGGCAUCCUGGACCGGCAUUGACGCUGAGGAGCGAAAGCCAGGGGAGCAAACGGG